rnacentral:rRNA from 1 species
UGGGGAAUUUUGGACAAUGGGGGCAACCCUGAUCCAGCAAUGCCGCGUGAAGGAUGAAGUAUUUCGGUAUGUAAACUUCGUAAGAAUAGGAAGAAUAAAUGACGGUACUAUUUGUAAGGUCCGGCUAACUACGUGCCAGCAGCCGCGGUAAUACGUAGGGACCAAGCGUUGUUCGGAUUUACUGGGCGUAAAGGGCGCGUAGGCGGUGUGUCAAGUCAGUUGUGAAAUCUCCGAGCUUAACUCGGAACGGUCAACUGAUACUGUCACACUAGAGUACAGAAGGGGCAAUCGGAAUUCUUGGUGUAGCGGUGAAAUGCGUAGAUAUCAAGAGGAACACCUGAGGCGAAGGCGGGUUGCUGGGCUGAUACUGACGCUGAGGCGCGAAAGCUAGGGUAGCAAACGGGAUUAGAUACCCAUGUAGUCCCUGAGCGGGCUGGCAAGGCGCAU